rnacentral:rRNA from 1 species
UACAGAGGUCCCAAGCGUUGUUCGGAUUCACUGGGCGUAAAGGGUGCGCAGGUGGGUUUGCAAGUUUGAUGUGAAAGCCCCGGGCUUAACCCGGGAAUGGCAUUGAAUACUGCAGAUCUGGAGGAUUGGAGGGGGGACUGGAAUUCUUGGUGUAGCAGUGAAAUGCGUAGAUAUCAAGAGGAACACCAGUGGCGAAGGCGAGUCCCUGGACAAUACCUGACACUGAGGCACGAAAGCCAAGGGAGCAAACAGG